rnacentral:rRNA from 1 species
CCUACGGGUGGCUGCAGUGGGGAAUAUUGGACAAUGGGCGAAAGCCUGAUCCAGCCAUGCCGCGUGUGUGAAGAAGGCCUUCGGGUUGUAAAGCACUUUCAGUGGGGAAGAAAGCCUUGGGGCUAAUACCCUCGAGGAAGGACAUCACCCACAGAAGAAGCACCGGCUAACUCCGUGCCAGCAGCCGCGGUAAUACGGAGGGUGCGAGCGUUAAUCGGAAUUACUGGGCGUAAAGCGCGCGUAGGCGGUCUGAUAAGCCGGCUGUGAAAGCCCCGGGCUCAACCUGGGAACGGCAUCCGGAACUGUCAGGCUAGAGUGCAGGAGAGGAAGGUAGAAUUCCCGGUGUAGCGGUGAAAUGCGUAGAGAUCGGGAGGAAUACCAGUGGCGAAGGCGGCCUUCUGGACUGACACUGACGCUGAGGUGCGAAAGCGUGGGUAGCAAACAGGAUUAGAUACCCCAGUAGUC